UGAACGCUGGCGGCGUGCCUAAUACAUGCAAGUCGAGCGAACAGACGAGGAGCUUGCUCCUCUGACGUUAGCGGCGGACGGGUGAGUAACACGUGGAUAACCUACCUAUAAGACUGGGAUAACUUCGGGAAACCGGAGCUAAUACCGGAUAAUAUAUUGAACCGCAUGGUUCAAUAGUGAAAGACGGUUUUGCUGUCACUUAUAGAUGGAUCCGCGCCGCAUUAGCUAGUUGGUAAGGUAACGGCUUACCAAGGCAACGAUGCGUAGCCGACCUGAGAGGGUGAUCGGCCACACUGGAACUGAGACACGGUCCAAACUCCUACGGGAGGCAGCAGUAGGGAAUCUUCCGCAAUGGGCGAAAGCCUGACGGAGCAACGCCGCGUGAGUGAUGAAGGUCUUCGGAUCGUAAAACUCUGUUAUUAGGGAAGAACAAAUGUGUAAGUAACUAUGCACGUCUUGACGGUACCUAAUCAGAAAGCCACGGCUAACUACGUG
rnacentral:rRNA from 1 species